ACGUAGGGUGCGAGCGUUAAUCGGAAUUACUGGGCGUAAAGCGUGCGCAGGCGGUUGUGCAAGACAGAUGUGAAAUCCCCGGGCUUAACCUGGGAACUGCAUUUGUGACUGUACAGCUAGAGUGCGGCAGAGGGGGAUGGAAUUCCGCGUGUAGCAGUGAAAUGCGUAGAUAUGCGGAGGAACACCGAUGGCGAAGGCAAUCCCCUGGGCCUGCACUGACGCUCAUGCACGAAAGCGUGGGGAGCAAACAGGAUUAGAUACCCUGGUAGUCCACGCCCUAAACGAUGUCAACUGGUUGUUGGGUCUCUUCUGACUCAGUAACGAAGCUAACGCGUGAAGUUGACCGCCUGGGGAGUACGGCCGCAAGGUUG
rnacentral:rRNA from 1 species